rnacentral:rRNA from 1 species
GACGAACGCUGGAGGCGUGCUUAACACAUGCAAGUCGAACGAUGAAAUGGAGCUUGCUCCAUGGAUUAGUGGCGAACGGGUGAGUAACACGUGAAUAACCUGCCCUUAAUUUUGGAAUAACCCAGGGAAACCUGGGCCAAUACCGGAUAAGUAAACCUGUGGCAUCACAUGGUUUUGGAAAGUUUUUCGAUUAAGGAUGGAUUCGCGGCCUAUCAGCUUGUUGGUGGGGUAAUGGCUCACCAAGGCGACGGCGGGUAGCCGGCCGGAGAGGGUGAACGGCCACACUGGGACUGAGACACGGCCCAGACUCCUACGGGAGGCAGCAGUGGGGAAUAUUGCGCAAUGGACGAAAGUCUGACGCAGCGACGCCUCGUGAGGGACGAAGGUCUUCGGAUUGUAAACCUCUUUCAGCAGGGACGAAGCGAAAGUGACGGUACCUGCAGAAGAAGCACCGGCUAACUAUGUGCCAGCCGCCGCCGUAA